rnacentral:rRNA from 1 species
UACGUAGGGGGCAAGCGUUACCCGGAUUUACUGGGCGUAAAGGGGGCGUAGGCGGCCUGGUGUGUCGGAUGUGAAAUCCCACGGCUCAACCGUGGGGCUGCAUCCGAAACUACCAGGCUUGGGGGCGGUAGAGGGAGACGGAACUGCCGGUGUAGGGGUGAAAUCCGUAGAUAUCGGCAGGAACGCCGGUGGGGAAGCCGGUCUCCUGGGCCGACCCCGACGCUGAGGCCCGAAAGCCAGGGGAGCAAACCGG